rnacentral:rRNA from 2 species
UACAGAGGUCUCAAGCGUUGUUCGGAAUCACUGGGCGUAAAGGGUGCGUAGGUGGCGUGGUAAGUCAGAUGUGAAAGCCCGGGGCUCAACCUCGGAACUGCAUCCGAUACUGCCAUGCUAGAGUACUGGAGAGGUGACUAGAAUUCUCGGUGUAGCAGUGAAAUGCGUAGAUAUCGAGAGGAAUACCAAAGGCGUAGGCAGGUCACUGGACAGUUACUGACACUGAGGCACGAAGGCCAGGGGAGCGAACGGG